rnacentral:lncRNA from 1 species
GUUUUGUCAAAGGGGACUCUUCCAAUUCCCUGCCUAGGGAAUAUAAAUCUAGUUGCCAGUGCCCUAACUGCAAGUGAGGGAAAAAGGGUGGGAGUCUCACUAAUUAGUAUACGGCAUGUAGACUUGACCUUGAUCAUCCUUUUUCAGCCUUACUCCUAUCCUCUACAAAACAUGGUAUCAUUGGGUCUGAAAAUCCCUGGCUCUAUUUCCCUAGAAAUUAAACCAGUUGCCUGCUGGGCUGGUUGGUGUACAGAAGAGGAGAAGGAUUCUGAGGGGUCAUCUCCAGUCCCAUUUUUUUUCAGCCCCAGCCUGCAUCCCUUUCUACAGAAGUAACAACAAUUUCCAGUUUCUGAGCCUUUCCAGGGUUGUACAGUAGGUAUUCAUUUGCUUUUUGAUAUUUUCCACAGCAAAGCAAACUUUCUUGCUGCUCUGUUAACUUCGUUACCACUCACCCGUCUGCCUUCUGUCUUCCAACAUUUUGUUGCUAGCUCUUGUCUGCUGUUGCCUCUUCUGUUCUCUUUAUCCUUCCAGGUUUUAUAAGAUUGUUUUUAUUCCUUUUCAGUCAUUUCAGAGAGGCUUCAGGAUGGAGUUGUGAUAAACGCAUGUGUUCAGUCUACAAUGUUUAACAGGGAGUGCCUCCUGAUUUUUUCAUGUGAAUUACUGAGGAGUAGGUAGUAGACUAUCUUGAUGCCCUUCCUCAUGUCCCUUUGACUCUGAGUUGACCUGCAGCUGCAGUGAACACUUCCUAAGGAUGCUGAUAUCUUCCCCCAUCAAGUACUUGCCUCAUUCUGCUUCUCCGAGGAUUUCCUCCAGUACACCAAGAGCUUCCCCGACACUCACAAGGUAUCCUGGAAUUGCCGGGGACUGAAAACCCCUCAACCCAUGAAGAAUGAGGAUCAGUGGAUUAAUAGCAACUGUCCCAUACCUUGGUGGGACUAUUAUAAGGCAUUCUGCUUGGUUCCUCAGAGGUCCCAAAUGGGAUUGAACCAAAGUUGCCCACAGUAAAAACUCAUUCACCAACUCAAUUUUCAUUUCACCCCUCUCAAUUUGCACACUCACUCACUUGUUCUACCUGGGAUACUCUCCAAGAUAAACUCCUGUAUCCAAAGCUUUGUCUCAAGGUCUCAUUUGGGAGGAACUCAAACUAAGAUAAUAGGUACUGAAAGUGACUACAGAAAGUAUAUUAUCAAUGGUAUGGAGGCAACAAAAACCCCAUUAAUGGUGGUGAGUAAGGUGGUGACAAGCCCUGGCACUUUGAAAAAUUUCAUUACCCACAAUUGACCCAUGGUGUACUUGGAUGAGGUAAAGAUGAAAGGAGACGCUUACCUUAUGCAACAGUGCUAACUCCUGAAAGAUAUAGGGCUGUGAUAAUCACAGGAAUUGAAGAGUUGUCUUGUUCUUGUUAACUCCCCUAGAAGAAUUCGGAAAAAAAAAGAUAGGUUUACAACAUCCAACUAUCCAUUCAGAGCAUAGCAAUGAAAGCCAGAAGGUCUCCUUGGGAGGAUCUGAAGAGACCCCCAUUUCCUGCAACCAGAGGGCAGGCUGUUCUUAAAAAAUGACAUUCAGGGGUUCACUGCAAGAGGAAUUGAACUACAGAGCAGACUGAAGACACAGUCCAGGCAGGCCUCUCAUGCAAAAGUCAAAGCCCUAGAGGAAGGAAAUGGUCCUUAAAAACUACUGGGAUGCAGGCAGGCAUCUGGAUAGAUGUGCUAGAUAACCUUGAACCCCUAGAUUCCCUGAACAACCCAGGCUAGCAGGAGUAUCCUGCACCCUGUUACUUGAACAGAACAGCUUCCCUUUGCCUAGAGACUCUACACAGUCCUCCUCUGAAGCAGACACCUCCAAGAUUACUUCAAGGUCUGCUACUUCCUGCCCUCAUUGCCUCUAUUCCAAAAACUGGGAACAAGUCUCAGCAUGCCCUGAGCAGGGUAGCACAUUUCUUGCUGUGAGAGAUGUGACAGAUUGUAUUUUCUAAAGAAGGCUGCAACCAUGUCUCUCAUCCCAAAUGCUCUUCUACAAUGCAGACUUGUCACUCCUCUACCAAGAGAUGAAAUCUAAUUUCAAUGCCCUUGAAUCUAAGCUGGACUUUACUUGCUUUGACCUGUAAUGUACAGAAGUGAUGCUGUGUGAUUCUUAUAGCUGAGUCAUAAAAGGUGAUGCAGCUUCUGCCUUGUUCCUGGGGACAUUUGCCUCUGUGGGAUUGAGCUACUACAUAACAAGACCACCUACCUUGAGGCUGCCAUGCUGGAAGAAAGCAAAGCCACAUGAAGAGCAAGUAAGCUGGUUGCUUUAGCAAGAUCCUUCAUAUUGAUAGUGAGUGUGCACUUGUCUUUCUCUUGUGAAUGCAAACCACUUUUUCAAUAGUCUCACGUUAAGUGCCAAAGAUUGUUGUUUUUGUUGAAUGCAUUCUCUUUAUCAUUCACUACCUGGCCCUAGGAAUUUUUUCAAUGAUCCUCAUUUCUGUUACAAUAUAGUCUUCAGUGACCUUGAUCAUCUUCACAUUCUAUAGAACAUCAUCCUGGCCCAUGAUAUUAAUGACAGAAUAAUAAUUGAACUUGGUUUUUAGGAAGGAGCAAGUAUACUGGUUUUAAAUACUUCAUGCUGAAGGAAUGAGAGAUAAGCCCUACAAAGUUUUGGAAGUUUGCCACAUCAGGGAAUAUUUUAGGGGCCCAAAGAUCCAGGGGUAUGUUGAGACACCCUACUCAAAAGAAUACUUUGCAUUUCCUACCACUAAGAGAGAGGCACAGCACUUGGUGAGCUGCUUUGAAUUCCUGAGGCAAAAAAAAUAACAAUAAUAAAUACUACCCAUGAGAAUAAUGCUCUGAUCUAUUAUAUCAGACUAUUGGCUUUGCAGGGGUCUGAGAGAGCAUCUGAAUAGCCUUUUAAAGACUUAAAAAGGCAUUGGCUUAGGAAUUGCACCUUGCAUGGCUAGGUCAUUGUCCUCGAGGAUACAGCAUAUUUGUUGAACCAGUGAUCACUAUAUGCAAUCACUGUGCUGUUUUCCCAGCAUUUGGAAUACACAGGAAUGAUAAUUAAAGGAUACAAGUAGGACUGACUUAAACACACUCCCUUUCACCCAUUAGUGGAAAUUAUGUUUUUAAUUCUUACAACUUUAGGCUCUUCCUGAUUAAAAGCCUUGGUCUCAAGGUGUGUGUACAGACGGAGACAGUAAGUGUUCCACUGCAUCAAUGCAGUGCCAUCUGAGGAUUUGGGCAUCUCCAUACUGACAGGUCAGCAGGCAAAAAUGGGAGUACUAUACUGGCAGGGACACCUGACUGAUUAUCUUGAAGAGUUGGAGUUGCUGCUACAUAAUGGGCCCAGGGAGGAAGAUGUCUAGAACUUGGGGGAAUCACUCAGGCCCCCCUUAGUGCUUCUCUGUCUGGCGAUAAUAGCAGAGAAGCAAUUGAAGUAGCCAUGUCCUCACAAGGGCAAGGUAAUCAAGGCCCAGCCACUCAGAGAUGAAGGUCUGGUCAUACACUGAGCAAGCAAUGAUGACUAGUGGAAGUGCUAGCCAAGGAUUCGGGAAAUCUAGAAGAAGUGGAAUUGGAGAGAGAUGAUGAGUAUAGAUUAUAGCCUUGGAACCAGCUGCAGCAGUGAAGAUUGUGACUUGUUCCACAUAUUCUUCUAUUUUCAGUCAUUUUUGGAGAUUGCAGCCAGCUACAACUCUGAAAUGUCAGUAACAGAGCAAACUAAGGGUGGGCAUGAGAGGAUCUGCUGAGAGGAAGGAACAAACAUGGUAGUCACUAAUGAUACACUGCCCAGGUUCCCUGGCUCACCUGUUAGCUCGCCGGCAGCUUGCAAACAUGUCUAUACACACUGCCAUCUUCCUACCACGAGUGCCAUAACUCUCUGCUUCUCUGCUGAGGCCCUUCUCAGCUCACAGUGCGAGUAGCCUGCAAGUGCUAAGGGCAUAAUGCCUCCAAGGUCAACUUUAAUCAACGAGGUUCAAGAGUCAGAAGAGUGAAUUCCUUCUGAGAUACAUUCUUUCUGGUUUCUCAGAGGCUCCCCAGAGGAAGUAAGCCCCAGUUGCUUAGGAAAAAUGGAAACUACUUAUUAAGGCACCCCCUUUUUACUUUUCUCCUUUCUUUCUCUCCCUUUCCCCACUCCAUUCCGUGAAGUUCCUGGGAUCACCAAAUAAACUAUCUGUAAUCAAA